rnacentral:rRNA from 1 species
UCAUGACAUGCGAUACUUGGUGUGAAUUGCAGAAUCUCGUGAACCAUUGAGUCUUUGAACGCAAGUUGUGCCCGAGGCCUUGUGGCCGAGGGCACGCCUGCUUGGGCGUCAUGGCAUCGUCGCUUUCGCUCCACGCAUUGUUGGCGGCGAGCGGAAAUUGGCCCCGUGUGUCCUCGGGCACAGUCGGUCGAAGAGUGGGUAGUCGGCAGUCGUCGGGCACGAUGGGUGUUGGUCGCCGCGAGCGGGAACAGAACGUCGUCCCCGUCGUCUCGGGAUGAGUCCUCAAGAGACCCUGUGCGAAUGCGGCGUCGGUCGAAAGUGCCGCGCCCAUCAAAUUGUGGCCCCAAGUCAGGCGAGGCCACCCGCCGAGUUUAAGCAUAUAAAUAAGCGGAGGAAGAGAAACUUACGAGGAUUCCCCUAGUAACGGCGAGUGAACCGGGAUCAGUGCCA